UACGUAGGCAGCGAGCGUUGUUCGGAAUUACUGGGCGUAAAGAGUGUGUAGGCGGUGCUCCCAGUCUGUUGUGAAAUCUCCCGGCUUAACUGGGAGGGUGCAGCGGAAACUAGAGUGCUAGAGGGUGGGAGAGGUAAGCGGAAUUCCUGGUGUAGCGGUGAAAUGCGUAGAUAUCAGGAGGAACACCAGCGGCGAAGGCGGCGCUCUGGGCCGGUACUGACACUGAGGAGCGAAAGCGUGGGUAGCAAACAGG
rnacentral:rRNA from 1 species